GAUGAACGCUGACCGAAUGCUUAACACAUGCAAGUCAUUGGCGAAGCUGCGCUUGCGCAGUCUAGCCAAGGCGGACGGGUGAGUAACGCGUAAGGAACUUGCCCUGCAGACAGGGAUAACAGACGGAAACGACUGAUAACACCUGGUAUUGUCAGGCUGGCGCAUGCCGGCCUGAUGAAAGGAGACGCUGCAGGAGAGCCUUGCGUCCUAUUAGCUAGUUGGUGGGGUAACGGCCCACCAAGGCGAUGAUAGGUAGCCGGCCUGAGAGGGUGAACGGCCACAAGGGGACUGAGAUACGGCCCUUACUCCUACGGGAGGCAGCAGUGGGGAAUAUUGGACAAUGGGGGCAACCCUGAUCCAGCAAUUCUGUGUGCACGAAGAAGGUUUUCGGAUUGUAAAGUGCUUUCAGCAGGGAAGAAGAAAGUGACGGUACCUGCAGAAGAAGCGACGGCUAAAUACGUG
rnacentral:rRNA from 1 species